CUACGGGAUGCAGCAGUGAGGGAUAUUGCACAAUGGGGGGAACCCUGAUGCAGCAACGCCGCGUGGAGGAUGACGCAUUUCGGUGUGUAAACUCCUUUUAUAUGUCAAGAAAAUGACGGUAGCAUAUGAAUAAGCACCGGCUAACUCCGUGCCAGCAGCCGCGGUAAUACGGAGGGUGCAAGCGUUACUCGGAAUCACUGGCGUAAAGGACGCGUAGGCGGGUUGGAAAGUCAGGUGUGAAAUCCUACAGCUUAACUGUAGAACUGCACUUGAAACUUCUAAUCUAGAGUAUGGGAGGGGGAGAUGGAAUUAGUGGUGUAGGGGUAAAAUCCGUAGAUAUCACUAGGAAUACCUAAAGCGAAGGCGAUCUCCUGGAACAUUACUGACGCUAAGGCGUGAAAGCGUGGGGAGCAAACAGGAUUAGAUACCCGAGUAGUC
rnacentral:rRNA from 1 species